AGAGCCUUUCAAAGAGGGCUUUUGGGGCUGUGAAACCAGGAGCUCUUAACUCUAUGAUGGAAGAUUGAAGUUCUCCAUAGGAUGCCACAGUCAUUCAAUAGUGCUAAGUUUUUCUGACGAAACGUAAGA
ensembl:snoRNA